rnacentral:rRNA from 1 species
CAAAGUAGGCGAAUCCGCUUGGAGGAGGCUGGGGUGUGAUAGAGAGCGAAAUUUAACAGAGAAGUAGCAGAUUUCACACUGACGAGAAAAGGCUCUAUCGAGGAUAAAAGUAACCGUGCCGCAAACCGGAACUGGUGGGUGAGGAGAGAAUCGUAAGACAAGCGAGAGGACUGUUGUUAAGGAACUCGGCAAAAUGACCCCGUAACUUAG